UGAAUGUUGGCAGAAAAUUGUCCAUUUUGUCAUGUUUCCAGCAGCAAUUUAUACAACACCUCAAACAGUCAUCAACAGAGCAAUUUAUAAAAAUAUAGAAGUUAAUAAUCUAAGACAGUCAUGUCAGCAAGCGGAAGAUGCUCUGACUCAAGGCAUGGAGAAAUUGCAGUCGACUCUUGCUGAAACUGUUGCUGCAGGUCAACUGGUAUAAGGAGGUUGCAUCCCAAAGAUACCUACUGCAAUGGAGAAGUUGGAAGCUCUAGUCAGCUUUUUGAACCAGGCUGAUUAUUUUGGACAAGAAACACUACAGCAGAUGUCUUGUAUCCUAACAACUUGCCAGGUUGCUCGAGGCUUGCUUGCACUAGGAGAGUACUUCUAACGCCUUGGAGCUUUUAGUUCAAUUUGGGCCACCCAUCCUCGUGACACUGCCUAAUCGUAUACCAGAAAAAAUCAACAAGCUCAAAC